rnacentral:rRNA from 1 species
GACGAACGCUGGCGGCGUGCUUAACACAUGCAAGUCGAACGGAAAGGCCCUGCUUUUGUGGGGUGCUCGAGUGGCGAACGUGUGAGUAACACGUGAGUAACCUGCCCUUGACUUUGGGAUAUCUUCAGGAAACUGGUGCUAAUACCUGCUAGGAGCUCCUGCUGCAUGGUGGGGUUUGGAAAGUUUCGGCGGUUGGGGAUGGACUCGCGGCUUAUCAGCUUGUUGGUGGGGUAGUGGCUUACCAAGGCUUUGACGGGUAGCCGGCCUGAGAGGGUGACCGGCCACAUUGGGACUGAGAUACGGACCAGACUCCUACGGGAGGCAGCAGUGGGGAAUAUUGCACAAUGGGCGGAAGCCUGAUGCAGCAACGCCGCGUGCGGGAUGACGGCCUUCGGGUUGUAAACCGCUUUCGCCUGUGACGAAGCGUGAGUGACGGUAAUGGGUAAAGAAGCACCGGCUAACUACGUG